CGUCACCUCGCCUUGCCUUGAUUCUUGGGUGUUUCGCCGCCUUUUGUCUUUGCCCCUCCCUCUCUCUCUCUCACACACACACACACAAUGGGUCACUGUCGCAAGCAAGCGAGAGAAAGGAGCAAAGGGAGGUUGGGAAAAAUUAAAGAUGGAGGAGCUGCUGCUGCUGCAGAGGAAGAAUUAAAAAAGGGUGAGCUUACGAGGGAGGAGGAGGAGGAUCAGCAGCAGCUCAACCACACGGUACUUGUCAGCUCACCAAGACUAGUCCGGCUUCCGGACGGACUCUUUGCUUGUUUCUUUCUUCUUCGCG
rnacentral:lncRNA from 1 species